UAAUACGUAGGAUGCAAGCGUUGUCCGGAAUUAUUGGGCGUAAAGAGCGAGCAGGCGGCAUACCAAGUUGGACGUGAAAUUUUAGGGCUUAACCCUAAAGGGUCGUCCAAAACUGGUAAGCUAGAGUGCAGGAGAGGAAAGCGGAAUUCCCGGUGUAGUGGUGAAAUGCGUAGAUAUCGGGAGGAACACCAGAGGCGAAGGCGGCUUUCUGGCCUGUAACUGACGCUGAGGCGCGAAGGCUGGGGUAGCGAACAGGAUUAGAUACCCUGGUAGUCCCAGCAGUAAACGAUGGACACUAGGUGUGCGGGGAAAUUGACCCCCUGCGUGCCGGAGCCAGCGCAAUAAGUGUCCCGCCUGGGGAGUACGGUCGCAAGAUU
rnacentral:rRNA from 1 species